GAUAAUGAUAAAGCAACAAUCAUUAUUCAAUAAACUGCUCAUGAUCAAUCCUCCAUUUGGCUAAGGAGAUAAUGAAAGAGUUGAACUGUUGAAGUUUCCUAUAUCUAGAUAACCGACCGAGUGACCCAUAACAUUGUUUUGUCAAAAGAUGCCAACAGAACCUUUCAAUCUAAGAAACUGAAAACACCAUACUAAUCAAAC
rnacentral:lncRNA from 1 species